rnacentral:rRNA from 1 species
AGCUCCAAUAGCGUAUAUUAAAGUUGUUGCAGUUAAAAAGCUCGUAGUUGGAUCUCUGGCCGGAGCGACCGGUCACGCACUCUGUGCGUGAACUUGUGUUGUCUCUGGCCAUCCUCGGGGAGAUCCUGUUUGGCAUUAAGUUGUCGGGCAGGGGAUACCCGUCGUUUACUGUGAAAAAAUUAGAGUGUUUAAAGCAGGCUUAUGCCGUUGAAUACCUUAGCAUGGAAUAAUAAGAUAGGACUUUGGAACUAUUUUGUUGGUUUGCGUUACAAAGUAAUGAUUAAAAGGAACAGGUGGGCGUGUCGGUAUUGCGUUGCUAGAGGUGAAAUUCUUGGAUUGACGCAAGACCAACUACUGCGAAAGCAUUCACGAAGGAUGUUUUCAUUA